GGGAAGCGGGACCAGAGGGAAUUGACAACUUUGGGUUGAGCCAGGCCAAAAGGACCCAGCGUGAUGGAGGCUCCUGCUCCGACAACGCCCGCGAUCGGUUUUCCAACUGACGGUAGAUGCAACUACUUUGUGGAAAAGAAGAAGCGCUUCUGCAGGAUGGUGGUGGCCGCGGGGAAAAGGUUCUGUGGUGAACACGCUGGAUCGGCGGAGGUCUGGUAUCGCCCUACCUUCCUGAGAGUCGGAACUGAGUUGCUGGUCUGUGGGUGCUGGAACCCAUCCUCACCCCCUUUGACAGGUUUCUGCUUCUGCCCCAUGGAUUCUCCAGCCUUUACUUAAGUAAAUGCAGUUCUGACCACCGCUUGGAGCCACGAUGAGCUCCUGAGGAACAUUGCUUUCUUGGACUAAGUGCUAAGAAUAGCCAAGAGAUGAUCCUCUGUGCUAUCAUAGAGAUCUUUGUGCUCAUCCUUCCAUCAGUCGCCCAUCCUCAUGGGAAGUGAUUAUCUUUACAGAAUAGUGUUUGAAAUCACCAGACUUUACUAACUGGGUUCUAAUUAUACUUAUUGUUUUCUGAACGAUAACCACUUGAGUGCAUGAGGAAGAAACUUAGAAAAAAAAUGUUUUUUGUUUAGACUUAACUCUCCAGGAAACACCUUAUGAGCUUGUAAUUAUUAUUCUGGGAGGGGGAAGAAGAAUUAACCUAAAGUAACUAACAUUAAAAGUUGAAAGCAGAGUGCAUUUUUGUCUUCCAACCCCAGCAGACAUUAAUGUCAUAAGACAUUUUGGUUCUAAGUGCAAAAAUGUCAGGGGCUUCAAAUGGAUAGAGAACAGGAAAAUUACUAAUCCGCAGGUCACAGGAAGUCUCACCACCCU
rnacentral:lncRNA from 1 species